rnacentral:lncRNA from 1 species
CAGGAGUUCAAGACCAGCCUGGGCAACAUAGACCCUGUCUCUACAAAAAAUAUAAAAAUUAACUGGGCAUAGUGGCAUGCACGUACCCAUAGUCCCAUCUACUCCAGAGGCUGAAGUGGGAUGAUCACUUGAGCACGGGAGGCUGAGGUUGCAGUAAACCAUGACGACACCACUGUACUCCAGCCUGGGCAAGAGAGUAACACUCUCAAAAAAAAAAAAAAAUUGUGGCAUAAAAAAAUACAAUGAAAUCUGGUUAAAAGCACUUUAUUGAUUACAGUAUCAAUUCACAACAUUUCAUAAAGCCACUGUACAAAUAGAGGAAUGAAUCACUGUGUAAGAAAGAUCUAAGAACAGUUAAAUCAUGAUACAAGUCCAUAGUUUAUAUGGUUUAGAGCUUUAAGAGCCUUAAUCUAACACGUUUACCCUUCCCAUAAUUAGACUACUACUGACAUUCAUGUUCAGUUGACCACGAGUGUGUACAAAUCAUUCUAGGUAAAGACAAACACUUUCAGAAUGCUUUAACAGAAAAAUAAUUUUAAUCAACUUUAAAAACACACUUAGAUGUGGAUGCCUUUGGAUAGGAAAAUAGAAAUGCAAGUGUUCAGAUGCUUCUUUGAAAAGAAAACAAUAGGAUAGAGCACCAUUGUGUAAAAGACAAAAGGCUUGAGAUAUCUACCAAGUAUAUCACUGAAGUUCUAUUAAUUAAGAAAUAAAUACUGUAUGAUGUAAGAUUUUGUUGAAUACAUUUAACACCAGUUGGAAUAUAGCUUUUUCCCCCCCGUAAUGCUGCUUUAUCACAACUGUAUUUUACAAAAUCAGCAACUGGAUUUAAGAAAGAAGACAUAGGAGAUUUUAUCAACAUGCAAACAUUUGCUAAAUACAAGGUGUACCAUCAAUGUGUGAUUAAUUAAUAAGUUACUUUUUAAAAUAAAGUGCUAGCUUAGAUAUUCUACUAUAAACCAUUUCAUUGAGUACCUAUUAUGUAACCAAUAUUUUAAAAUAUACACUGAAUCUGAGGCAACCCAAAAUGAACAAUGGAAAGAAAACUAGUAAAUCUGAAAUGUACUUCACAUUCUACUUAAUCUAAUUUAAAAUAUAAAUUCAUUGUGCAACCCAUAAGAAAGAUGGUCCAACCUGUGGGUAUUUUUAAAAAUUCUAACAGGAGAAAUCAUUUAAAAUUUUGCUUUUUCACAAUGGCAAAAAGGAAAGAAUUUGAACAUAAUAUUUAAUUUUUAAAAAAAUUCAGCCUGACUCCGACCCUGAAGAUUUCAGAAAGAACAUCGUCACUAUUAAAAUGAUGACAGGCCCAAAUGGGGGAUUGUUUAACCAGUUUUCCUAAGUUAAACCAAGAAUAAGCCACAAGUAUUCAAUUGUGUUACAACUUAGAUCUGAGACAUUUACAUCAAAGCAUACUUCCCUGAACAUGUUCACAUUUAAAAUGCUUAAGGUCUUAUUAUUAAAUCCAAAAUACCAAAAGUAUUAGAGGAGCUAGUUAUACAAUAUUGGCACAGCAUUUUUAAGCAAUAAUAAAAGUUUCAUUUUGUCACCUUAAGUCAAGAUCCAUUUAUCUAUUAAUAGGUUAAGUCUGAAAUUCUGUAACAUAUUCUAGAAGCACCUACAUCCAUUAUUUCCAGGAGACUAGUUUACUACUAUCAUGCAAUCGCUGAGGUCAUAUGAGUCUAAAAUGAAGGGAAUUGCUGAACAGGCCCUUUUGCUGUUGAGAUAUGAAGCCCAAAUCUUUGCCUCUGAAGACGGAAUUCAAUGUGGUGUGUGUAAUCACAAGUAAAAACUUGAGCUAGGGAGGAACCUUGGAUAUUCAGUCUACAUCUCAAACAGCAUAGCUGCCAAAAAUGAGGCCUGUCCAUUAAAGUGGAGGAGAUAUCCUUGCUGAUGGCAAAAACUGCUUUUUCUUUUUGGGACGGAAUCUUGCUCUGUCGCUCGGGUUGGAGUGCAGUGGCGCCAUCUCAGCUCACCAAAACCUCCACCUCCUGAGUUCAAGUAAUUCUCUGCCUCAGCCUCACGAGUAGCUGACAGGCGCCCACCUCCACGCCCGGCUAAUUUUUGUAUUUUUAGUAGAGAUGGGGUUUCACCAUCUUGGCCAGGCUGGUCUUGAACUCCUGACCUCGUGAUCCACCUGCCUCGGCCUCCCAAAGUGCUGGUGGAUCACUUGAGGCCAGGAGUACGAGAUCAGACUGGCCAAGAUGGUGAAACCCCAUCUCUACUAAAAAUACAAAAAUUAGCCGGGCAUGGUGGCACAUGCCUAUAGUCCCAGCUACUUGGGAGGCUGAGGCACAAGAAUUGCUUGAACCCAGGAGGCAGAGGUUGAGGUUGCAAUGAGCCAAAAUCACACCACUGUACACUCCAGCCUGGGUGACAGAGUGAGACUCUGUCUUUAAAAAAAAAAAAAAAGGAACAUUAACUGCAAUAUUCUUGAUGAUGCAAAUUUUUAAAAACUAAAUCCAGCCAGAUUUUUCAGCCUUAAAAACUAAGAUCCAAACUAUUCAACAUCUCUACAAAUUAUAUACUCAUUGAAUUCAGGAACAAUAACAGAAUUCAACAAUCAGCUCAACUUAAACUGUAAGUAAACAAAUAUAUUUAGCAACUGGAGCCCCUAUUAUUAGAAAGCAAAGGUGUAACCAUGAAGUAAUUGUGGUAGUGAGGCUACUCUGUCGCCAUUUGUUUAUGUGUAUAAUUAACCACAAGUGUUAAAUAGUUUUUAGUUGCCGAGUAAAUAUUUAAUUAUGGGAAUUGCUUUAAACUCCUCUUCAUAAACUUUAAGAACAUUAAAAUAAAUGUAAUUUUAAAAUAUGUUAAGACCAUAGAAUUCCUGUGGUCUGUAUGCCUGUGACUACUAUAAUAACUUUUAAGUAGAGGAGAUACUCUCUUACAUAUUUAAGGUUAUUUUUAUGCAUAAUAGAAUUGCUUUCUUCUGACUAACCUACAUGGCAAACUUUCCCCAACCCUCUUUUUCUGGAAAUGAAUACAUUCCUUUAUUCUUUUCUCAAAGAACUGUUCUUUAUGAAGUGAUAUAAAUAGCCUACAAAUAAACAUUAAUAGCAAAAGUUCAUAUAAUUUUUUUUUUUUCCAAUUUGAGAUGGAGUCUCACUCUGUCGCCUAGGCUGGAGUGCAGUGGCACAAUCUCGGCUCACUGCAACCUCUGCCUCCCGGGUUCAGGCGAAUCUCCUGCCUCAGCCUCCCGAGUAGCUGGGAUUACAGGAAUGUGCCACCACGCCCGGCUAAUGUUUGUAUUUUUAGAAGAGAUGGGGUUUCACCAUGUUGGGUAGGCUGGUCGCGAACUCCUGACCUCAAGUGAUCUGCCCACCUUGGCCUCCCAAAUUGCUGGGAUUAUAGGUGUAAGCCACUCUGCCCAGCCAAAAAGUUAAUAGAAAUCUUAAUCAAAAUAUAAAUAUACAUUCAUAACUGCCAUCUACAAUAUUCUGUUUUGGUCCUAUAUCUUAAUUUGCCUUUAUCCACUUUAUUAUUCUAAUUGUCAACUGAUUUUAAUAAAACUGAUACAUCUUUACAGUUGAUGCACAUAUUAGCACAUUCACAACAUAAAAACAAAAAUUUAGAGGUAAAGUUUGGGAGUAUUUAGGUUAAGUUACACAUGUUCAAAAGUUAACACAGACCUAUCUGAAAAGUAACUAAGUUACAAAACAAUGCACGUCUAUAUAUCAGAAUAAUCCAAGACUUUACCAUCAAGCAAGACUAACAAUCUUCUAUUAUCAGUCAUUUAGACUUAUUUGUAAAAGAGAAUCCAACAGGAAAAGUAUCUUUAACUUGGUCGUGGGGGACUUCUAGUAAGAGACACAUUAUUAUACCACAGAAAAACUGUUUAAUAUAGCUCUCUAACUCCUUUAAGAACUGCUUUAGGAAUUUUUAUUUUGGCUUUAAGUGGAAUCACUUACAUCUAGACAUCCUUUGAAGCAAAACCACUUAGAAACCAGUAUUUUGUGCUAAGGAAGGGAAGAAAUACUACAAAAUGUUGCAAAACAGAACAAAAAGCUUAAAGGUUUAAGAAAUUUAAAGGCACAGAUAUUUCACAUCAAUUCAGAUUUUAUAGUAUGCAAACAUGAAAUAAACCACCGUAUUACAACAAAUAUGUGCUAGCGAUUGGUUAGAUUUCACACUUCUCUCCAAAUGUAACACUGUCACAUUGCAUUUCCUCUCUAGAUGUAUACUGAUAGCACUGGGAAAGAUGUUCAGAUGCAGGGACAAUCCCAAUGUUUACCAAACUUCUGAAAGAUGAGUAUACGCUACAAACUUAGUUCCAAAUAUGAAAUGAAAAGGAAAGUCCAGCUAUUUAGGGGGGUACUCAAAGUGUCAACUGAUCAUAACCAGGCUUUUAAAAUGUCAAGAACCAUUUAUAUGCUAUUACCUACUUUUUAUUAAUUAUAAUGAUGUUUCUUAUGUAUGUCCAAAAUAUCAGUGAAAUCUCUAAUCUCUGGCCUUCAGAUUAUCUGUCCCCUCAAAGGACUGAAAGCAAGCACUUUGAUUAAUAGUAUAUGGCAAAUGAUGCAUGAGAAACAAUGAACUCCCCUCAGAGGUGCCCCACCUGUCAAUGCUCUUAAACAUGAAGCUAUCAGGAUCUCUUAGAUUCAAAGAGAUAUCAGAAUUCAAGGGGACUUUCUUCAGACAUAAAUACACACACAUACAGUAUCAUUUCUGUCUGUUUCUGUGCCUGGUUCUUCCAUUACAAAACUCAAAAAUAUGACAUUUCUUGUGUAUACAAAGUUAAAAAUGUACUUCUUAAAAAAUGCAAACACAAUGGCGAGCUGCUAUAAUGUGUACAUUCUGUUCUACACAAAGAAAAUACACUCUGAGUACACACAACAAUUCACCAAGGUUAAAAUAACCCAACCCCUCAAAUUAAUACACUGGUCCUUUUGAUCUCAGAAGGCGCCUUUGCCUUUUUUCCUCCACCCCCACUUUUUUUUUGGUAGUUUACUGAAAGCUUGUUUUUGUAGAUAAUCUAAUAGAAAAAUCUUCACCUGCAAAUAUAAGGUAGAAUUUUUUCACAGCUAUAGGCUGUAGCAUUGAUUUCUCCAGAUAUAUCAAUGGAGAACAAAUAUGUAUGACACUGUUAAUUCCAGAUUCUAAGAAAACUGUCCCAAGAGCCUGUUGCCACAGCCAUGCCAUCAUCAGUUACACCUAAGCAGCUCACACGGUUGUCAUGACCAGCAAGGACACCUGAAAAAAAAAUUCAGUAAAAAAUUGGCAAUUGUAGGGUUUUA